AUGUUGCUAUUUUUCUUGAACUGGACGCUACUGGGAUUUUUGGCAAGGAUGGGCCUAGUUGUUUGGAUGACGCAUAAAGCCCAACCCAAGUAUGGAGUUCAAAAACAAAAAAUGAUUGGAAGAUAUGAAAGGAAGAAAGAAACAAGAGUGUCCGUGUUUUUCUGAGACAGUACGUAGAGAGUAAAAGCAGGGAGAGGAGAGAGUAGAAUGAAUCAUUGAAAAAGGAAGCAGAAACGACGAGACUUGAGUGCAGUCUGCAGUGUGUGUGUGAUGAGCGGCGAGGACACCAGAAAGAGCAUCGGAGGAGGAACUCUGAUGGCGAGGCCCAAUUCCGACGAACAUGCUCCAAAGCCAUCGUCAGCAACAGCAACGCCCCCUCCCACCAAGAAGAUCAUCAUCAAGAGUGCCGAUAUGCCCCCCGACUUGCGGAGCACAUCAAGAAGGUCUUCGACAAGAGGCAUGGUCCCACUUGGCAUUGCAUCGUUGGUCGCAAUUUUGGUUCUUAUGUGACUCAUGAAACAAACCACUUUGUUUAUUUCUAUUUGGAUCAGAAAGCAGUUCUGCUUUUUAAGUCUGGCUAGCAACAUGCUGAAGGUGACAAAAGUGUUGAAGAGUCUUGUGAUUAUGCUGUUAUAUUAACUCUUGUAUGUAUUGAAUCCUUGGUAGGGCAAACUCUUUGAUAUUCUUGUCCUUGUAUAUCUAACUUCAUGCAUCUUGAUCUUUCUGCUUUACUUUGUAUUUUAUUCGAUUCGGGAGUCUUGGGAACACAUAAUGUCUCAUUAACAUUUCAAAUAUUUGUGACUUGUCAGACCUUAAAGGCUGUGUAUGUAACUUGUGACAACUUCACAUGGACAAGGUUAGCCGGUUAGGUUCCAAAGAAUGGGUUUGCCUUAGUGAUGUCAACAUUUCACUUGCAUUCCUUAGGUGGAAAUUUACAUUUGACAUGGUGAAUAUUACAUUUGAGAAUCCUGUCAAUGGUGGAAUGUUGAGGAUCCCAUCCCCCUUGUCGUGUUUCGAUACUAAUUAUAGAACCACUAUGCCUAAUAGCCAGAAAGAAAACAAAAGUACUAGUUACUAUAGUAAUG